UGUGCACACAGGCGGCCUCCAGGGUCUCAGUGGUAAUAACGUGCUAUUCUUGGCAAACGGUGACUACCGGUAUAUGUCGGGGGAAAACACUAGCGCUGAUGAUACGGACCUGGCUGGUCCAUCAGUAUUCACGACCACCAAGAUGGUCGACUUGAAGGUAUGGCGGUAUGGGGCAAGCAGAGUGGUAAACUACUCGAAAUGACACAGAGAAAGGGCCGGCUUGCUAUUGGCAGUUGAUCCGCUGGUAAUUGCAAAGUAAGGAAAGUUGUCCCAAUUCACAAAGGGCAAGAUGACAUUGAUUCACCUUUCAUUUGGAAUUCUGCCUGAUAUUCACAGCUAUUGAUUUUUUUUUUUCCCCGGCCCCCCACCACAGACAGUAUGACAUGUGUCAUUUCAUUUCUGCUCCAGUGUGGCCUCAUAACAAGCAGGUGUUGCUGUAGAUAACUGCUCCAAUUGAACCACGAUAAUGUCUGCCACAUACAUUUUUUCCCCCCGUCAAUUCAUCGUCAAGGAAAUAAAGCAAAUUUCAUAAUUA